UGAGGAAUAUUGCACAAUGGGGGCAACCCUGAUGCAGCAACGCCGCGUGGAGGAUGAAGGCUUUUGAGUUGUAAACUCCUUUUCUGAGGGAAGAGUAAGGACGGUACCUCAGGAAUAAGGCCCGGCUAACUACGUGCCAGCAGCCGCGGUAAUACGUAGGGGUCAAGCGUUGUCCGGAAUUAUUGGGCGUAAAGAGCGUGUAGGCGGCCUGGUAAGUCUGCCGUGAAAACUUGGGGCUCAACCCUGAGCGUGCGGUGGAUACUGCUUGGCUAGAGGAUGGUAGAGGCGAGUGGAAUUCCCGGUGUAGCGGUGAAAUGCGCAGAUAUCGGGAGGAACACCAGUAGCGAAGGCGGCUCGCUGGGCCAUUCCUGACGCUGAGACGCGGAAGCUAGGGGAGCAAACAGGAUUAGAUACCCCCGUAGUCC
rnacentral:rRNA from 1 species